AUUGAACGCUGGCGGCAUGCCUUACACAUGCAAGUCGAACGGUAACAGGUUAAGCUGACGAGUGGCGAACGGGUGAGUAAUGUAUCGGAACGUGCCCAGUCGUGGGGGAUAACUGCUCGAAAGAGCAGCUAAUACCGCAUACGACCGGAGGGUGAAAGCGGGGGAUCGCAAGACCUCGCGCGAUUGGAGCGGCCGAUAUCAGAUUAGGUAGUUGGUGAGGUAAAGGCUCACCAAGCCGACGAUCUGUAGCUGGUCUGAGAGGACGACCAGCCACACUGGGACUGAGACACGGCCCAGACUCCUACGGGAGGCAGCAGUGGGGAAUUUUGGACAAUGGGCGCAAGCCUGAUCCAGCCAUGCCGCGUGCGGGAAGAAGGCCUUCGGGUUGUAAACCGCUUUUGUCAGGGAAGAAAAGGUUCUGGCUAAUACCUGGGACUCAUGACGGUACCUGAAGAAUAAGCACCGGCUAACUACGUG
rnacentral:rRNA from 1 species